rnacentral:rRNA from 1 species
AGGAAUAUUGGGCAAUGGAGGCGACUCUGACCCAGCCAUGCCGCGUGCAGGAAGACUGCCCUAUGGGUUGUAAACUGCUUUUAUACAGGAAGAAACUGACGGUACUGUAAGAAUAAGGACCGGCUAACUCCGUGCCAGCAGCCGCGGUAAUACGGAGGGUCCGAGCGUUAUCCGGAAUCAUUGGGUUUAAAGGGUCCGCAGGCGGUCAAUUAAGUCAGAGGUGAAAUCCCAUAGCUCAACUAUGGAACUGCCUUUGAUACUGGUUGACUUGAGUUAUACGGAAGUAGAUAGAAUGUGUAGUGUAGCGGUGAAAUGCAUAGAUAUUACACAGAAUACCGAUUGCGAAGGCAGUCUACUACGUAUAUACUGACGCUCAUGGACGAAAGCGUGGGGAGCGAACAGGAUUAGAUACCCUGGUAGUCCACGCCGUAAACGAUGGAUACUAGUUGUUGGGCAUUAGCUCAGUGACUAAGCGAAAGUGAUAAGUAUCCCACCUGGGGAGUACGGUCG